rnacentral:rRNA from 1 species
UACGUAGGUGGCAAGCGUUGUCCGGAUUUAUUGGGCGUAAAGAGCCCGCAGGCGGCUUGAUAAGUUUCAGGUGAAAUCUCCUGGCUUAACUGGGAGAGGUCCUGGAAAACUGUCAGGCUUGAGGCAGGGAGAGGGAUGUGGAAUUCCCGGUGUAGUAGUGAAAUGCGUAGAUAUCGGGAGGAACACCAGUGGCGAAGGCGGCAUCCUGGCCCUGUCCUGACGCUCAGGGGCGAAAGCGUGGGGAGCAAACCGG